AUUGAACGCUGGCGGUAGGCCUAACACAUGCAAGUCGAGCGGAUGAAGGGAGCUUGCUCCUGGAUUCAGCGGCGGACGGGUGAGUAAUGCCUAGGAAUCUGCCUGGUAGUGGGGGAUAACGUCCGGAAACGGGCGCUAAUACCGCAUACGUCCUGAGGGAGAAAGUGGGGGAUCUUCGGACCUCACGCCAUCAGAUGAGCCUAGGUCGGAUUAGCUAGUUGGUGGGGUAAAGGCCUACCAAGGCGACGAUCCGUAACUGGUCUGAGAGGAUGAUCAGUCACACUGGAACUGAGACACGGUCCAGACUCCUACGGGAGGCAGCAGUGGGGAAUAUUGGACAAUGGGCGAAAGCCUGAUCCAGCCAUGCCGCGUGUGUGAAGAAGGUCUUCGGAUUGUAAAACACUUUAAGUUGGGAGGAAGGGCAGUAAGUUAAUACCUUGCUGUUUUGACGUUAACAACAGAAUAAGCACCGGCUAACUUCGUG
rnacentral:rRNA from 1 species